UACGGGGGGGGUAAGCGUUGUUCGGAAUUACUGGGCGUAAAGGGCUCGUAGGCGGCCAACUAAGUCAUACGUGAAAUCCCUCAGCUUAACUGGGGAACUGCGUGUGAUACUGGAUGGCUUGGAUUUGGGAGAGGGAUGCGGAAUUCCAGGUGUAGCGGUGAAAUGCGUAGAUAUCAGGAGGAACACCAAUUGCGAAGGCAGCUCGCUGGGACGUUACUGACGCUGAGACGCGAAAGCGUGGGGAGCAAACAGG
rnacentral:rRNA from 1 species